rnacentral:rRNA from 1 species
GACGAACCGUGCGAACGUUGUUCGGAAUCACUGGGUUUAAAGGGCGCGUAGGCGGGCUGCCAAGUUUGGGGUGAAAUCCUCCGGCUCAACCGGAGAACGGCCUCAAAUACUGGCGGUCUCGAGGGGGGUAGGGGCAUGCGGAACUAUGCGUGGAGCGGUGAAAUGCGUUGAUAUGCAUAGGAACUCCGGUGGCGAAGGCGGCAUGGCUGGACCCUUUCUGACGCUGAGGCGCGAAAGCCAGGGGAGCAAACGGGG